GCCUCCUGAGUAUGAUAAAGUACAGUUGCCUUCCAAGCAGAAAGAUUAAAAAAUUUUAAAGGAGGUAAUAUUAAGGU
rnacentral:tRNA from 1 species